rnacentral:rRNA from 1 species
UACAGAGGGUGCGAGCGUUAAUCGGAAUUACUGGGCGUAAAGCGUGCGUAGACGGCUAUCUAAGUCGGGUGUGAAAGCCCCGGGCUCAACCUGGGAAUUGCAUUCGAGACUGGAUGGCUUGAAUCCGGGAGAGGGAUGCAGAAUUCCAGGUGUAGCGGUGAAAUGCGUAGAUAUCUGGAGGAACACCGGUGGCGAAGGCGGCAUCCUGGACCGACGACUGACGCUGAGGAGCGAAAGCCAGGGGAGCAAAGCGGG